AUGACUGGAUAUGGGCAUGGAAAGACAAAGGCAGCCAAAAGGGAUGAAUCCCUUAUAACUAGGUAGGUACUGGAUAUGUGAAGUGAGGUCAACAAUGCCUCCAGAAUUUCCAGCUAGUGAUGGAGUUUUGCACUGGUUAUCAGGAAGACGACAUUAAUGCAAUAACCACAGAAGGGCAAGUGAGGUCACAAAUCUAUACCGGGAUCCCUGGGAAAAUUUUUAGAUCAUCACCUAGAAGAAG
rnacentral:lncRNA from 1 species